GGCUGUGGCUGUGGUGUAGGCUGGCAGCUGUAGCUCUGAUUCAACCCCUAGCCUGGGAACUUCCAUAUGCUACAGGUGCAGCCCUAAAACAAAACAAAACAAAACAAACAAAAAGGUCCUGAGACAAGGUGAGAGGUCUACACAGGGAAAACCAAAGAUUGAGGGAGAAAACCAACUCACAGCUGGCACGAGAGGCUGACCUGUGGCCACCAUGCAGAAAGGAAACCAAAGGUCCCUGGACCAUGUAGAUGCCCUAGGGUGAGACAUCGUCUCCCCGCUGCACAGGCAGCACAGGCUACUCGAGGCCCUCUCAGAAGCUGCCCGGUUGAUCUGUUUGAACUAUUCCCUGCUUCUGGAGGGAAAGGAGAACAGGUGAUGUGUGGAGUUUGUGGGGGAGAGAGGUGGAAGAGACAGAAGGGAAGCUGAGAGGGCCCAGAUAUGUCCACUGGUCUUCUCCACCUCAAGGCUUAACCCCCCUCUCCCGGCCAGUAUCCUAAGUGCCAGCUUCCCCCGUCAUCCCCCUGCUCAGAAACCCUUGAUACCAUUGCAAAUGCUCGAGUUCCACCUCAGCCAGGGCCUCAGUGCCCUCUGCCUCAUUAGCUCAGGAGUUUAACAUUUAUGGAGAGCCGGCCUGGCCCUGUAGUAGGACUAUGAAACAAAGAGCUUCCCCUCCUCCCUGAGCCUUCCUGCGGCUUCCAGUCCUCGAGGCCCCUCUCCUUCGACCUUCUCCAUCUAGCAAAAAAGACUCAGGCUCACCCUCAAGGCACUUAAAGUAUAGUUUAGGCGACAGAGAGAUAAACAGACGAAUGUUCUCACUCUUCUCCUAAAACUCCCUUCUGUUCCAGCCAGGCUGCUCAGAGUUCCCUGAACACCCACUGAAAUCCCACCUCUGUCGUCUCUGCUCCUGCUGCUCCAUCUGCUGCUUCCCCUACAGGAACUGAGAGGCAGCCCACACGGCAAGGCCUCACUUCAGCCUCCCCUCCUCCACAGCCUUCCUGUCCUCGAGGCCCCUCUCCUCCGACCUUCUCCAUCUAGCAAAGGCUUAGCAGCCUCACCAUUCAGGAGCUGCCUCAGGCAAGUCUUAACAUCAUUAUUUAGCUGCUGAGACCAAGUGUGAUACCUUCAUUACUAGUAAUGAUAAGGAUUAUCAUUGAUCCCCUACAUUUGAAAAGGGCUUCAAAUGCUCGCAGAUAGAUUCUCUCAUCAUGGCCAAGGCUCUUUUUGGCCUGUCUGUAUUGCUUUCCCAACUAGAUCCCAGGCUUCUGUGGGUAGGAAAAGAUGGAUUGCAAUCUGUCUCUAACAUGCCUGCCACAGUACUUUAUAGUGAAGGCUUCAUUCAUUGGUUUAACAGGUGAGAAGAGAGCAGAGCGCAUUAUGGCCCUGACUGCCCAUCUCUGAAUGAGCCUCCUUCCAGGUCAACAACACAGCUACAUGGGAAAGACAGGCCGGUGGCCACCUGCCCACCUGUUGGGAAGCCUCCUCCCCACCCCCUGCAGGCCAUUCCCUGGAAUGUCACAUGGUCGUACAGUAAGUGGCCUAAACAAUGAAUCACAAAUCAACAGGAUCCAAGAAUCUGAACACUGCCUUGGCAGUGACUGGUGAAUCGCCCUGUUUUCCCGAUUCACAGAAGCAGCUCCAGGAAAGGCACCGAGAUCAAUGUCCAGGAUGGUAAAAGAAUGCUUCUUAGACAAGGAGCAGCUUGGGAGAGGUGACCGCAGGUUUUAUUCGUCUGGGAACCUUCAGGUCACAGUGCCGAGCCCAGCUACAGGACACACACAUUUUUGGGGGAAGGGAGAAAUGGAGAAAUUAAUGACUGCGACUUGGUAGUACCCAUUUUCUUGGCUCCUUGAUUUGUCUCCUGGCUGCCCCUUCCGUCUGCAUGGGAAACUGUCUGUAUCAUGCAAGGGAAAGCUUUUCUUGACCACCCAACUCUUUUCCUAGGUCUUAGUUAAAGCUGAAAAACAUGUCCAAGACAAGGCAGAAUCACAAGUACCACAGUAAGCUUUAAACAAGAAAGCAUUUAAGAAACCCAGUGGGGCAGAUUUCAAAAGGUUGAUGUGGAGAAAGGCAGGCUUCUUUCUCUUUCAUGAACUCCUGACUCCUAAACAGUCCUCUGCAUCCUGAGGAAAGGUGGACCCAGCCAGAGAAAGUGCUCACCAGCUGCCCUCUAACCCCAAGCCAUGUGAUCACAAGGCAGACUACGACCUGGCCUCACAUCCGAUCUGGUUCCUCAGCCACUCCCAGGCAUCUCCUCUGCCCUUGGCCUCAGACCCUUCCCAUCCGUCUGAGAUGUCUCUCUUUUAAACAGCAGCCCAGCCCAAGCUCCUGGACCUCCUAGGAGCUAGUCUUACAGCUCCCCGAAGAUGAAUGCAUCCAUCUCCUGACCCUGAAUCCCUUGAAGAGAGUGAAGUAAAGAGAGAACAAGACCCUGGGAGCUCAAUGAUGAUGACAGCAGUAAUAACAGCCAGCCUAUUCCAGCUUCACGGUGUGUCGGACCAAGUGCUUUUACAAUUAUCUCACUCAGUCCUUAACAACACCAGGGGAGAGAAACAAAGAGACUCUGAAAUGACAAGGAAAAAGUGGAGAGGGCGAGCUGGCAGAGACAUAUGCCUUUAUACCUAACCACCGUCUGAGGCUGCCUUGAAGACAGCAGAGGAGGAAGGGCUCAGUGACACUCAGUUUGUAUUAGGAGAAGAGUGGAAACAGGAAGCACAGUUAAGAGAUGAGUGUAAGAAUCCAAGUGACAGAUGGUGUUGGCUUGGAUCAGGACCUCAGCAGUGGAAUUGAGAGAAGUACAAAAGAGCAGAGCUUGGAUUUGAUGUUGCUGUGGCUGUGGUGUAGGCUGGCAGCUGUAGCUCCGAUUCCACCCCUAGCCUGGGAACUUCCAUAUGUCAUGGAUGCCAUCCUAAAAAGACAAGGGAAAAAAAAGUACAAAAUAUCCCUGCACACAUUUUAUAUUCUUUUAUAGAGAAGCAAUUAAAAGCUCAUGCAUUAACUUAGGAAAAAUCAUAUAUUUGUGUAAAUAAACCCAAACCAUUUGCAGUCCAAGCUGCAGGUGCUAUUAGUUAUUAUUACUGAGACUUUCUCCUGUAAAUACAUCAUUCUCUACAACACCGCCAAUAUUUAGGUACAUUCUGCUUUUUCUUUUCUUUUUUUUCUUUUUUUCUUUCUUUUUUUUUUUUGGCUUUUCUAGGGCUGUUCCG